rnacentral:rRNA from 1 species
CCUACGGGAGGCAGCAGUGGGGAAUAUUGGACAAUGGGCGAAAGCCUGAUCCAGCCAUGCCGCGUGUGUGAAGAAGGCCUUCGGGUUGUAAAGCACUUUCAGUGGGGAAGAAAGCCUUGGGGCUAAUACCCUCGAGGAAGGACAUCACCCACAGAAGAAGCACGGGCUAACUCCGUGCCAGCAGCCGCGGUAAUACGGAGGGUGCGAGCGUUAAUCGGAAUGACUGGGCGUAAAGCGCGCGUAGGCGGUCUGAUAAGCCGGUUGUGAAAGCCCCGGGCUCAACCUGGGAACGGCAUCCGGAACUGUCAGGCUAGAGUGCAGGAGAGGAAGGUAGAAUUCCCGGUGUAGCGGUGAAAUGCGUAGAGAUCGGGAGGAAUACCAGUGGCGAAGGCGGCCUUCUGGACGGACACUGACGCUGAGGUGCGAAAGCGUGGGUAGCAAACAGGAUUAGAUACCCCGGUAGUC